CAUGUCCUCCUAUGGGCAGAGAAAGAGUCCUAUUUUAAUACCUAAACCAAAGCUGUAUUGUCAUAAGCCACUUCUUGAUGAAAUUGUGACCCACACCUUAAUAUCACUUUCAUAAAUAGGACAUGGGAGGCUUUUCCCCUCAUUUUAUUAUAAAGAUGUCUGUGGGAAAUUCUCUUAAUUCAUCCUUUUUAAAAUUUUACCUUUUAGCUAAAAUGUCUCUGCUCUGUUGAAAUUCAAACUUCUAACUUAGUGAAAUCGAAAUCAUUCAUAGACUGUAGUAUUGCAGGGCUCGAACUGUGCACUGUUCUGAGGUAGUUAAGAGCUUUGCUGGAUUCAGGCCCUGGGUUUGCCCAGGCCUGUAUGACCUUGAGCAAGUUAUUCUGAGCUUCACUUUCUUCCUCUAUGAUGGAGAAAAUAAUGAUAGCACUUACCUCUAUAGAGUUAUGAAAAUUUAGUAAGAUAAUCCAUGUAUGCAUUUAGCACUGUUGAGAUCUUGGCUUACUGCAAGCUCCGCCUCCUGGGUUCACACCGUUCUCCUGCCUCAACCUCCCGAGUAGUUGGGACUACAGGCACUGGCCACCACUCCCGGCUAAUUUUUUGUUUUCGUAUUUUUAGAAGAGACGGGUUUCACCGUGUUAGCCAGGAUGGCCUCGAUCUGACCUCGUGAUCCUCCCGCCUCGGCCUUCCAAAGAGCUGGGAUUACAGGCGUGAGCCACCGUGCCCAGCCUAUUACUCUUAAGCCUAGUUAUUUAAAUCAAACAUUUAGUGAGCUCUUACAUGAUGUUAUAGGAGACUCUGAAGAUUCUCAAGUGUUGAUUCCUGUUCAUAAGGCAGUUAUAGUCUUGUUGAGAACUAAGUUUUAUGCAGAUAAAUAAACUAGAAAGUGUAUGGUGAAUUGCCGAAAGAGAGAGAGAACAAAAGUACGAGAGAGAACAAAAGUACUGUCAGUGCGCAGUAACUGGGAAGAAAACAGUAGUCCAAAGUAGAGGGGCCAAACUUUGAGGAGGAGGCUUUGGAGUCUGGAAGUGAGGAAAGAGUGGGAAGGGCAUUUUAUGCUCUGACAGCUACAAGAGCAGAGUCAGAGAUAUUUGUAACUCCCAGUUAGGAGAUUUGAAUAACAGAAGUACUCUUGAGUAUAUGGUGACAAACCUUUAUUUUUUAUUUACUUUUUUUUUUUUUUUUUUUUUUUUUGAGACGGAGUCUCGCUCUGUUGCCCUGGCUGGAGUGCAGUGGCAUGAUCUCAGCUCACUGCAACCUCUGCCUCCCGGGUUCAAGCAAUUCUUCUGCCCCAGCCUCCCAAGUAGCUGGGACUGCAGGUGCCCACCCCCAUGCCCAGCUAAUUUUUGUGUUUUUAGUAGAGAUGGAGUUUCACCAUACUGGCCAGGCUGGUCUCGAACUCCAGACCUCGUGAUCUGCCUGCCUUGGCCUCCCAAAGUGCUGCGUGAGCCACUGCACCCAGCCGACAAACCUUUAUUACCAGGUGAUAUCAAAUAUUAUUAGAGCUGACUGUGGUAGUGACAGUUUUUCAUAUAAAUGUGAAAUUGCAUCCUCCUAAAGGAAUCCUGAGUAUGUAUGCACUUUAAAAGAACCCAGAAUCAUCUAAAUAUUGUCACAUGGCUCUUGCAAGUGAUGAUAAUAGUGAUGCUUAUAAUAAUGAGGAUUAGCUGCACUCAUCAGCCUGUAGAAAGUAAAAAGUUUCCUUUUCGAAAUUUCCUUUCUUGUUAAAGAAUAAAUCAUAAGUGUUAGAAAUAAUAGUUUCUUUUAAAGACUAACUUCCUUCAAGCCUCCUCUGCUGUGUGCUAAUAACUCUUCGUUAAGCCCUAUCCUAUGUAGCUGUUAGAUAUAAGGGAAUAAGUAUAUUCUAUGUCCUUGUACUUUAACCAAGAUAUUUGUGCUGGACAUGCUCACAGGCAUGUUCCAGCUUGCAGCCUAUGCCCCUUCCUUAUUUGGAAAUAUUAUUACUUUUCUAAGUCCUUUUGCAAGCAACUUCUUCUUUUCCUUUGUUCUCUAUUGCCUUUCCCUAUAUAGGAAAGUUUUAAGUUAUUAGCCAGUCGGGUUUAAUUUAAAUUGUGAGGUCCAGCUCCAGCCAAUGGAGACAGGACACAAGCUGCAUAAGGGAUAAAAACUGCUAUCCUCCUUUGUUUGGGUGUGCUGUCACCAUUGUUUCAUCUGUGAGGAGCACCCUUUCUGCAGAAAGUAAAAUUGCCUUGCUGAAAACACUUUUUGUCUAAAUGCUGGUUUUUCCUUGCAGUACCUAGGAGCAAGCAUUCUGUUUCUAAAUAAACAUUUUACUUGUAAC
rnacentral:sRNA from 1 species